rnacentral:rRNA from 1 species
AGAGUUUGAUCCUGGCUCAGGAUGAACGCUGGCGGCGUGCCUAAUACAUGCAAGUCGAACGAACCUUUAUUUUUGAGAAUCUCGACCUAGUCGGGGCCUCUCAUAAGUAAUGGUUAGUGGCGGACGGGUGAGUAACACGUUGGUACCUGCCCCAAAGUGGGGAAUAACCCGGCGAAAGUCGGGCUAAUACCGCAUGUGAUCGCAAGAUUAAAGACUUCGGUCGCUUUGGGAGGGGCCUGCGUCUGAUUAGCUUGUUGGUAGGGUAAUGGCCUACCAAGGCGACGAUCAGUAGCUGGUUCGAGAGGAUGAUCAGCCACACUGGGACUGAGAUACGGCCCAGACUCCUACGGGAGGCAGCAGUAAGGAAUAUUCCGCAAUGGGGGAAACCCUGACGGAGCAACGCCGCGUGCAGGAAGACGGCUUUCGGGUUGUAAACUGCUUUUAUUUGGGAAGAUUAUGACGGUACCAAAUGAAUAAGGACCGGCUAACUACGUGCCAGCAGCCGCGGUAAUACGUAGGGUCCAAGCGUUAUCCGGAUUUACUGGGCGUAAAGCGUACGUAGGCGGGUAUUUAAGUGCGAUGCGAAAUCUGGUGGCUCAACCAUCUAGACUGUGUCGCAUACUGGAUACCUAGAGGACGGCAGAGGCAAGUGGAAUUGGUAGUGUAGCAGAAAUGCGUAGAUAUUACCAGGAACACCAAUGGCGAAGGCAGCUUGCUGGGCCGACCCUGACGCUGAGGUACGAAAGCGUGGGGAGCGAACAGGAUUAGAUACCCCAGUAGUCC